rnacentral:tRNA from 1 species
UCCCGUGUGGCUCAGUUGGUAGAGCAUGGUGUUUGUAACGCCAGGGUUCGAUUCCCACGGGGG